rnacentral:tmRNA from 1 species
GGGGCCGACCAGGUUUCGACGUGGGUGCGGAUCCGGAGUAGGGCAUGCCGAGCACCAGUUCGCUCGUAAAACCACUGGAAACAAAGUAACUGCAAACGACUCUACGUUCGCACUCGCCGCUUAAUUGCGCGUGAGCUUCUCAACGGUUGGCCAAUGGGCCGGGCUUAAGUCGCAAGACUGAAGGCUGAGAAGUCAUUCACAUUGGCUGGUUCUGCAUCGGGUUACAAGGUACAGAGCAAGAUUAAGUGACUGGCGGGAAGGAUAGCGUGCCACUGCGCGAUUCAACCGUGAGAUUCAAAUCAGACGGCUAAGCAUGUAGAACUGCCCGGUGAUGGCUUGCGGACGGGGGUUCAAUUCCCCCCGGCUCCACCA